rnacentral:rRNA from 1 species
GUCGAGGAUCUUCGGCAAUGGACGAAAGUCUGACCGAGCAACGCCGCGUGUGCGAUGAAGGCCUUCGGGUUGUAAAGCACUGUCGAGGGGAAACAAGCCGUAAGGUUGAGUGACCCCUGGAGGAAGCACGGGCUAAGUUCGUGCCAGCAGCCGCGGUAAGACGAACCGUGCAAACGUUAUUCGGAAUCACUGGGCUUAAAGGGCGCGUAGGCGGGUAAUCAAGUCAAUGGUGAAAUCCUCCAGCUUAACUGGAGAAGUGCCUUUGAUACUGGUUGUCUAGAGGGAGGUAGGGGCAUGUGGAACUUCAGGUGGAGCGGUGAAAUGCGUAGAUAUCUGAAGGAACGCCAGUGGCGAAAGCGAUGUGCUGGACCUCUUCUGACGCUGAGGCGCGAAAGCUAGGGGAUCAAACGGGAUUAGAAACCCCAGUAGUCC